UACGAAGGGUGCAAGCGUUACUCGGAAUUACUGGGCGUAAAGCGUGCGUAGGUGGUUCGUUAAGUCUGUCGUGAAAUCCCCGGGCUCAACCUGGGGAAUGGCGAUGGAUACUGGCGAGCUAGAGUGAGGUAGAGGAGAGUGGAAUUCCCGGUGUAGCAGUGAAAUGCGUAGAGAUCGGGAGGAACAUCAGUUGCGAAGGCGGCUCUCUGGACCAUCACUGACACUGAGGCACGAAAGCGUGGGGAGCAAACAGG
rnacentral:rRNA from 1 species